rnacentral:rRNA from 1 species
AUUGAACGCUGGCGGCAUGCUUUACACAUGCAAGUCGAACGGCAGCACGGGGGCAACCCUGGUGGCGAGUGGCGAACGGGUGAGUAAUGCAUCGGAACGUAUCCUUAAGUGGGGGAUAACGCAUCGAAAGAUGCGCUAAUACCGCAUAAUCUCUGAGGAGAAAAGCAGGGGAUCGCAAGACCUUGCGCUUUUGGAGCGGCCGAUGUCUGAUUAGCUAGUUGGUGAGGUAAAGGCUUACCAAGGCUUCGAUCAGUAGCUGGUCUGAGAGGACGACCAGCCACACUGGGACUGAGACACGGCCCAGACUCCUACGGGAGGCAGCAGUGGGGAAUUUUGGACAAUGGGGGAAACCCUGAUCCAGCCAUGCCGCGUGAGUGAAGAAGGCCUUCGGGUUGUAAAGCUCUUUCAGCCGGAACGAAAAGGUUACGGUUAAUACCCGUGACUAAUGACGGUAC